rnacentral:lncRNA from 10 species
CAGAAGAUUAUCAGUGUCCUUGCAAAGGAUGACAUACAACUUCAGGAAGCACUCUGUAUGCAUUUUGUGAAACAUGCUCUUGGAAAUAAUUGCUGAAUUAUAGAUUUGAAAGGGAUUCUGCAAGACUUUCAAUGGUGGGUAACUACCUUUACUGGAAGUAGGUUAGCAAUUUUUAAAGUCAGAAUUUUCAUAUAUUAAAGUAAUUUUUAAAUUUCAAAUUACAGAUCUUAUUUGUGAAAGUAGUCUAUUUUACUUCCUUAACUUUACCCUCCCCAAUAUUCUACUUUAUUCUCAUCCAGUGAAUUUGGGAAUGAAUAAUUAUUAUAUUUUAAAAUGAUAUCAUUAAAUGAAAUAUUGAGAUAUUAUUUAUAAUCCACCAAUUUAUUUGUACUUUACUUGAAAUAUCCAGAGAUAAUUAAAAAAUAACUUAGAGGCA